CUACGGGCGGCAGCAGUGAGGAAUAUUGCGCAAUGGGGGGAACCCUGACGCAGCGACGCCGCGUGGAGGAUGACGCAUUUCGGUGUGUAAACUCCUUUUAUAUGUCAAGAAAAUGACGGUAGCAUAUGAAUAAGCACCGGCUAACUCCGUGCCAGCAGCCGCGGUAAUACGGAGGGUGCAAGCGUUACUCGGAAUCACUGGGCGUAAAGGACGCGUAGGCGGGUUGGAAAGUCAGGUGUGAAAUCCUACAGCUUAACUGUAGAACUGCACUUGAAACUUCUAAUCUAGAGUAUGGGAGGGGGAGAUGGAAUUAGUGGUGUAGGGGUAAAAUCCGUAGAUAUCACUAGGAAUACCUAAAGCGAAGGCGAUCUCCUGGAACAUUACUGACGCUAAGGCGUGAAAGCGUGGGGAGCAAACAGGAUUAGAUACCCUAGUAGUC
rnacentral:rRNA from 1 species